UGAAAUAUUACACAAUUCUCAUUAUAAAUGAUAAGCUUUUAAGUUGACAAAUAAACUUAGCAUCUAGCUCAUUUUUCAAGUACUUAAAUGUCAGUUAAUAGAAAACAAUAUUCGCCAUCAUCCGAACUUGCUUCUCAUUUAAUCCUGUAAAAGGAAACAUCCCUAUCUGUUUGAUAAUGUGACUCCAAUCACCAGGUGUACCUGCAGGUGUAACUGAAGCUUAUGGAUAUACACUACUCAAACGAAUGGAACAAGAUUCUAAGGUUUAUGCUAGAUGGUUCAAGGAACAAGACUAUCAUUUUCCUCAUUCGCUCAGUUUUUCAGACAACUAUUCACUACUUGUGGAGAGAACGCAAUGGUAGGCGACAUGGAGAGCAGCGUGUCCCUUCAGCUCGACUUCAAAUGGCCAUAGACAAGCAAAUUCGGAAUCAAAUAUCCUCAAGCCGGAUAAAUGGAAGUACGAGAUAUGCAAAAGCUAUGGAAGUGUGGUUUGCCACAAGAUAAACUUUAACCAUUUCAGAUCAUAGAGAAUGGUUUUCUAGUUUUUAGACUAAAAAUUUUAAAAAGAGAGACACGGCUAUUGUAAAGCAGUUUUUUUAUUUGAAUAUAAUUUAACAUUCUUUCAAAAAAAAAAACAAUAUUCGGUUCACGGUUCACUGAAAGUUACAAACAAAUGAGCAAAACUAUCUUCCGUCUACUAAAUUGCAGAUGUGUAGUAAUUGUUUGUUUUUGUUUGAUGUCAUGUUUAUAAUCAGUUUAUAAUUUUCAAAGAAAAUGAAAACAGUAAGCAAUUGAAGCAAAACGAAAUUAUAAGUUUGCGUUUGUAUUUGGAAAAACUAUAUGUUUUUAUUAAACGUCAAAAUGUUUAAUAUUUUAUAAAUGUGAAAUUUUUUUGAAUUUUUCUCUUGUCAUUUAACUGAGUACUAUAAACAUUAGAAGAGAAUAAAUGUGUGCCUUACCCAUCAUAAGUCAUGUAAAUGUGAUACUCUUUUGCCAUCAUCCGAACUUGCUUCUCAUUUAAUCCUGUAAAAGAAAACAUCCCUAUCUGUUUGAUAAUGUGACUCCAAUCACCAGGUGUGCCUGCAGG
rnacentral:lncRNA from 1 species